ensembl:lncRNA
GCGAGGAGGACAGACACAAGAAAAUUCCAGAGGACAUUGGACAUGUGAUGGGGGAGCUUCAACGCAUUCUGGACAAAAAUAACAUCCAUUACAUUGAUGAGCUGAAGGGAAGAUGGGACGACUUCUGCCAGAAGGUGCAGUUUUUUGGUGUGUGGAAAAAGCUGCUGAAACCCUCAGUAGGAAUGGACAAAGGCUCUCAGUAUCCUACGUGUGCUGCCUUCAUUGUUCCCCUCUUCAUCUGCUCCUCUGAAGAAGUUAGGACAUGUGAGUGAGGCUCUUGUGCAUGUCCUCGAGGAAAAAGAAGACCCCAAUGACUAUCUGAAGAAACGUCGUCUCUCCUGCCCAGUCCUUAUUGUGCGUAGCCACUCUGCUCUCUGUCAUAAAAACGGAGGUUCUCUUGGACACAAUCCAUGAGCGAGACCUCACACCAUCUUUCAAGAAGGGCAUGGCUGACUGGAAAGCCUUUGUUGGCAAGUAAAGCCGUUUCCAUUCUUAUUUAGCAAAUGUUUCCCAAUGUUAAGGUCG